rnacentral:lncRNA from 1 species
UAUUUUGACUGAGUCACAAAUGAGGAGAAAGCCAGGCAAAGAAGAGAUCCAAAGGGGGUCAGCAAAGCUGGAUUCCCUUUAAAGGGAGAGCAUCCAGGACAGCUGGAGCAGCAAGGCCUGGGAAGCAGGGCCUGGGAGCACCUGACUUGCUUUGUGAGAAAGGACAACCAGGGCAGAUCUGGAGGAUCAAGCAACAGAGACAGGUGGAAACAGGCCCCAGUUUCCAGCAGAGAGAGAGGAAACUUCUCCCUCAGCGAGGAGCACACAAAGACCAGAAUUUCGACAGUUCCCUCACCUGUUACCAAACCCCAGAGGCUACAGAGUACACAGGGCACGGCAGCUCCGGUGGCAGUCCACUCCAUGAAGAGGGAGGCCUUGACACACAAGAGAAAGAAGUAGUGAAGUCUGAGCAAGGAUCUGCCCCCGGCUCCCUGCACCUGCCUCCUAGAGCUACACAGAUGCCACCCAUCCGUGAAUGUUGAGAGAAGACCUCUGAAGUCCCCAAGCAAAGCACUCCAAAAGCCACAGAGCUGUCUGCGAGUCACAUGGCCAAACCUACUGGAAGCACCCAGGCAAGGGCUCCCAUCCCAACACAGAGAGCAGUCCCGGGAAGGUGGCCAGGGACUGGGGAGCGGCAUUCUCUCCGGAGUUCGGCAGCCCAGCAGUUAACAGGCUCGGGCUGGGCAAGCAACGAACUGCCACCAACAACCUCGGGAAUUAAAGCGCCCGCUGCCUCCUGCUGAAACCUCUUCAAUAAACGGUCCUAUUCAGAACCAGUUCCGCGUGUGGGUCACACUUGCUGCAUUUCUCUCAUUCCUGAUUGCUGGGGGGCCUUAGCCAUGAAAAUGUACCUUCCCCGCAAAACUUAGAAGGCUCCGGAUGGGGGAGGACCCAGGCCCCA